rnacentral:rRNA from 1 species
GAUCAUGGCUCAGGACGAACGCUGGCGGCGUGCUUAACACAUGCAAGUCGAACGAAGAGCGAUGGAAGCUUGCUUCUAUCAAUCUUAGUGGCGAACGGGUGAGUAACGCGUAAUCAACCUGCCCUUCAGAGGGGGGACAACAGUUGGAAACGACUGCUAAUACCGCAUACGAUCUAACCUCGGCAUCGAGGAAAGAUGAAAGGUGGCCUCUAUGUAUAAGCUAUCACUGAAGGG